AUAUCACCAGAAAUCAACUCUAUUGAACAAAAAAAGGUACUUAUGAUAUUCCAUCAUCAUCAUCAUAGGCUAAAACACAUUUCUGCAAUUCAACGGCUACACGCACCUUAAUCAGUUCCCAAUUCUUGUUCGUAUCUUCUCAAUACUCAAAGACAGGUGGUUGUGGAAAUGGUGGGGUGUUUUGCUGCAACACCCAAGAAUCUGGCAAUGGCCAUUGCAUGUUCCCUCUCUGGUGCUGUUCUUUUAGCUGUUGGAGCACACAUUUCUUAUGUCAAUGUUGAACCCCAACGAGCGCGGACCUUGGCUCGCGAUAAGUUGGUCUUAGAUACGUUAAGGAAGAAGUAUGGUUACAUCCCUCCAUCAGAGGUCCGGCGUAUGGCUCGCAACGACUCCAAUAAGGAGCACAAUUAAAUGGGACCUCGGGAUUGAUAAUUACAUAUGGGUGUGCUGCUACUUGCUGAAAGAUUUGGUUUUUCAUUCUGGCUCCUCUGUAUUCCUUUCACUUAUUGAUUCCUAAAAUAGUGAAUGAUGAAUAAAUGGUUAUUGCUAAUGUUCGCAGCCAUAAUUUAAAUGUUCCUAGUUGUUGUGCCUUCAUCCGAGUUUUUGCAAUGUGUAUAGUUGCUAUAGUUGCACUCAUUGUUAUCAAAAUGUGUGUUAUAGGGUUGGUCUGUUUUACAGAUUUUUCUUUGGUAAUGAAGUAGUUGCAUUGAUAUUGAAACCAUCAAAUUGUUGAUUGAACUUUUCUUAUGAAAUAUCUCAUCAAUUGACUAACUCCUCCAUUUCAUUGUUGUUGAA